AAGACCAAGAGCAACAGAAAGAUGAACCCACAAAAAAUUUUUGAAAGAGAAAAAUAAAUUUGAUAGCGAUUUUUUGCCUGAACUUUUGAAAUCCGUGAACCUGACAGUCUGAAUUUGUCUCAGCAGAUUUUCACCUGUCUGACUCUGUUCCGGGAUCAGCUAUGGACUGCAAGCUGAAAUCUGGACUUCCUGGAAACUGACAAGAUUGCUCCCUGCCUCUUCGGGUGGAUCAACUAACCAGUGGAGUCUAGUUAUUCCUGGUCUUUUGGGGUUUGUGAACUGAGCAGAACACCAGAAAGUCUUUUGGAGCUGGGUGUCCUGAGCGUUGGACCUGAUGAUCCCCCCGCUGUGGUGUUUCCUUCUGACAUGGACACCCAGUCUUUGCUUUGGGGACAGCCGUUCUGUCUGUGAUGGCGAGUAGAAUCCGCAGUGCCCACAGUUCAGUCUGGGACAGUGAUCAGAGCAUGCUGGCAUGUGGCUCUGGGCUGGCGACCAAGCGCCUGGCGGAACCGGGAUCUCUUCCGAGGUUUAGCUGGUGCUGCUGGUCAGAAGGAGAGUCGUCCCAGCGCCGCCAUUUUGCCGAAUCAUGAAUUUUGACAACAAGAAUUUAUAUACAGGAGAAGUAAUUCUACUUGGUGAGAAAACUGUAUAAAAUGCU